rnacentral:tRNA from 1 species
GGGCCUGUAGCUCAGUUGGUCAGAGCGCACGCCUGAUAAGCGUGAGGUCGGUGGUUCAAGUCCACCCAGGCCCACCA